AUUUACCCUCCGCUGAGCUUUACUUUGCUUCGUACCCCAUUCCAAAACGCUCAUCGAGAUGGGGAGGGGGAGGAGGGAGGGGUGCUCACCCAAAUAGGAUUUAUAGCAGCGUGUGGAGUCCUUGGCACUGGGGUUGGGACGGUCUGGGCAGACACACAGACGUGUCAGGGCCACCGGGGAUGAGCCUCUGUGUUCUGGUAGGAGCUCUGAGCCCAUCGUGGGGACAGAGGGGCAGCAACCAGCGUCCGGAUCCACACAACAGGAAACGUUGGGUGAGUGCUCAGGGAAAAUAGUCAGCAGCGCUAUCUGAGAGCCAUAUCAAAGAGAUUUGGGCCAGAAGUGGACCCAGCUGCUGUGAAGCUAUUAGCAGCAUCUCAGGCUUCCUGUGUACAGCGGGUUAGGGGGCGAGCACUGCCCACAUGUUUGCUUGCUGGAAUAGUCACCAGCACUGCCAUGAACUCACAGCCCUGAACAGACCUUCCGAAAGUAGUUCAGAGUGGAAGCAGCAGGAAGGAGGGAUUUUCUGGCCUGGAAUAUUUUCGCCCUUUAAGGGCUACAGUGCAAGAUCUUCCUUGAGUGGGUCUAUUGCUGGCAUGCUGGGAGCAAGCAUGCACCAACGCAUGCAAGAUGGCAAGAUGGGUGAGCGAGGCUGUGCAGAUAGCCUGACCUCACUCAGGGCAGCAACACCAGGACAACAGCAUUGGGAUCAUCACUGGGAAAGCUCAGAAAGCUCCAGCGGAGUGAUGUAUAAGGAAAAGCUGCAGUGCGGGGCAAAUUGUCUCUCCCAGCGCCUGGAGCCUGCAGCCUCACUAUGAGGAGGAGGAGGAGGAGGAGGCAGUGAACCCAUCCCAGGGCAAGGCAAUGGGUGAAGUGGGCAUCUGCCUAAAUCCCACCUGGCCACACACCUCAGAGCUGGAACAUGCAAGAUUUUGUUGAUGGGACCAAUAAUCAGAGCACAGUGUAAUCAGCCCCCUGGGAUGUCUGAGGCAAGCAGAAACUACUGGUUUCUUUCACAAAGCACAAAGCUGAUGUCUGAGUCGGCAUGUUUGAUAACAAACGUGGUUUCUCAGAGCCCCUUUGUUAUCAGGUUGUGCUGAGGAGGAGCACACCAGGACACGAUGAUGCUGACAUCCAGAUGAGCACAGAAGUGAUAACAAAGCCCAGCAGGACAGUUUGUUCACUUCUCCCUCCAGCAAGGGCAUUGCUGGUGGUCUUAUCUCUUGCAAAGCACAAACCAGAGCAGCCAGGAGCCUUGCAUAGUUUUCCUGGGCUCCCUGCUGGAAGCACCCCAUGAACGAGGUGCCCAACCCCAGGGCAUCAGGCCUGCAAGCAUCCCACCCUGAUGGUUGGGAGAAACUGCAGGAGUGGCAGCAAGGACAUUGGGAAGGGAAGUUGGUGAUACAGCAUUUGGGACUGCAGACUUUCAGAAUGCACAGACCCAAGCUUGAAGUGUGAGGGACUCACAACUCCAUAUCAUGGGUAACCAGAGACCUGGAAGAACAAACCCAGAGAUGGUGCCAUACCCCAAAAUGAUCCUUUCCAAACCUGAGUGACAGACAUCCUCUCUUAUAGGGCCACCCAACUGGGAUAUCACCAUCCUUCCCAGGGUGUUCAUUCCAUCACAAACAGCUUUCAGGCUCUGGUCAUCAGGCAGAUUGUCCAGCUUUGGCAAUUCCAAGCCAUGUUCACAAGACACGGGCUAAUUUCUGAUCAAUUCUCACCAACUGAAUCCAGCUCUGCUAGAUCUUGUUACAAUGAGAGGGGAGAAGAGAUGGCAGUUGGACCACUUGCUGUUGAGGUCUUGGAUGUUGCAAAAGACUUUAUUCUGUCCUAUCUCCGGCCCAGACUGUUUUGCUGAGAUCUCAUCCCAUCCCUUCUCCUCCCUGCACAGAUAUACUCCAGCCAGGCUCCAUUUCAAAUCUCUCCUGGGUUGCUGGUUUCAAAGCUUUCCAAAGAGUAUCAUCAUCCAGGAGACAGAUGUCUAGGACUACUGGGCUUCCUUGGGGGAAAGCAGCACAGAGGAUGGUUUUGUGGUAGCAUCUUUGCACCAAGCCCUGCUUAAAAUGUAGACAGUGAGCUGGAAGCAGCAAAGAAAUGUUUAUGGAAUUGCUUUCACGGGCACUGUGCAUGUGGUGAUAGGUUUAUAAAUUAGGUCAUACCAUUUCCUGAAAUGUAUGUGCAACGUUCUGGAUAUUUAAUGGCAUAAAGACGUAAUUAGCUGCAGCUUUGGAAAACAGCGUCACCUUGAUUUGAAGGAAACUGUUAAAUAAGAUUGGGUUACCAUGCUGAGCAACCCACUGCAAAGAUACAAUCUGAGGAGGGAACCUGACCCUGCCAGGAUUUCCUCUGCAGUGUGUUUGCAUUGUAUAUGCAUCUAAUCUGGAGCAAAUAUCUACAUUUCUCUGUACCCCAUUCAGACCUAAAGGAAAAAAAAGUAAGCUGAGUAGCUUCACUGAAUGCUAAAAUAGAAGAAAUUUGCUGCAGGAAGGAAAUUUUAAGGUUAUGAUCUGCAUGGUCCCAGGUGCAUUUUUAAAGCAUCUGAAAUGUUAGAAGUCUCCUAUGUCCUCCAAGAACCUUGAGAAGAGAGAGAAAAUGCUGCAUAGCAAAGGUCUUUUGGAAGAUGGAAUGUGAAAACAGAUUAAAUAUAAGAUUUGGGAUCCCAAUGACCCCUACGUGUUUUUCAGUCAACAGCAAAAUACCGUGAGAGACUUCAGUCUCCUUCAUGUAACCAGCAAACCCCGAGGUAUCCUGAGACACCAAACCACUCUGGGUCUUCUAAACUACCCAACCACUUGUCCCCUUAUCUUUUGACCAACAAGGCUUAGUUUUCAGAGGAAGUGAAUGAGAUAUUUUAACAGGGUAAGCCAAGGCUGGUGGGAGAUGCAGAAUAGAUGCCCAUAUCCUGAGGUCACAUCCCCGUGCUGAAGGUAUGGCUACACACCAUACAGAAGUGUUUUGAGACCUCCAAAAUCAGCAGAAGUGCUAAGUGACAGGGCACCUAGAGCAGACAACUCACUGCAUUGACUGCUGACAAUGAGCUGACAGUGACACUUCCAGCAAAUAAUAAAUGGCUGAGAAAGAGGAAUUUGAAAUGCAAUGCCACUGAUGAGCCAAUGAGCAUGGGCACCUGGAGGGCACUGUCUCUUCUCCAUUUAGGAAUCACAGCUUUGCUUUUGGGCCCUCUUGACCCAAAAAGAAAACCCCAAUUAUGUACUAAUACAGAAACUGAGCAGUCUACUCUGUAGAGAAAUGUGUUGACAAAAAAUAUUGCUUUCAAAAGAAAUGUUCUUUAUUUUUUCAAGAGAGAAGGAAACCAGAUAAUUUUUCAGGGCCAGGAGAAGAAAACAAAAACAAAAACAAAAACACAAUAACAACAUCAGAAUAUCUUUGUUUUGUAAUGCUUGAAAAUAACUCUCAGGAGUCAAGGAGAAUGGUGAUAAAAAUGAGAAAUGUUGAAAAUGGGAAGGAGGGAAGGAAUGAGAGGGCAGGGUGCAGGCUUGUAGGAGGAGCUGCAAUUACUUGACAGAAAAACAGGGGUCUGCUGAAUCUGUAGGGUGUUUCAUUUACAGUCCUUUGGUCUGGAGAAGCACUGAACUUACACUGAACCCCAUCCCCGAGGUGAAACCUUCCCUCUCCCACCUAUGCAGCUCAGGCUCCCAAGAAGCACUGUUUCAUUCCCCCUCUCUCCCCUCCAUCCAUCUCAAUAUCCAUGUUCCCAAGUUGCCUGAUGUGCCGUUUAUGACAGAAAUAACCUGCCUUGGCACUGACACUUGAAUUUCACUUAAGGUUCGUCGCGUUAUUAAUGACAAGAUCAAUAUUGCCAAAGCCGCAGUAAGAGCUCUCGCCAUCCAUCCGCCUCCCACCCUCCCCUCCGAGGCGCUCCAUGUUUUAAUGCUCCAUCUUCUUUCAAGGGUAUGGGCUCAGCAUGGGAAGGAGAAUCUCCCGCUGCCGGGGACGCGGUGCUCAGUCCUUGGCAGCUGCCCCAAUGUAUUUCUCCCGAGCCUUGAAUGCUGAGUGAUGAGGUUUGGGAGAGGGAUAACCCACAGGCUCUGUCUAAUCAGAGCGACUGUGGUGGCCUUGCUGAACCCUCCCGGCACAAUUAGGUAAUCACGUUGGCAGACAAGCCUGAUUCAUGUCGCUUUACCAUCAGCAAAGGGAUAUCUAUCACCCCUGCGACAGACCCGUUAUUGCCGCAAACCACUUCAGCCCAACCGGUUAAAAACCCCUUGUAAAAGCAAAAUAAAAAAAGGGGCUUGGACAUAUUUUAUGGCAAAUUAACUUCUAACGUAUUCUUUCCUGCCUCGUAUUAAGAUCCCACUCUCAGCUGACACCUGCAGCAAGGCCUGUGUUCCUCAUGGCAUGUAAGGGCUCAAGAUCUCUGCAGACACUGUGGGACAUUCAGGACAAUUCUGAUUUGCUCUCACUUCUCUCCAUUGGCUCCAGAGGAACCCAAGGUGAGGUUUUGGGUGGUUGUGAAGAGUCAGGAGUUGGACUUGAUGAUCCUUAUGGGUCCCUUCCAACAUGGGAUCUUCUGUCAUUCUAUGAUUCUUGUUCCAUGGACUGACCCUAUUCCUAUGAUGACAGCUUUCCAGGAAUGCCAAGGCAAAGGCACCCAAACUCAACCUGAAGCACCCAGCCUGCUGAUACCGAGCUUCUUUGGCUCUGUUCCCACUGGACCACCUAUGGAUGUCGAUGAAGACAACAAGGAGACUUAAUGGAUUCAAACAAGCUUUGGAUGAAUCCUUCAAAGCACCCUGGAAAUUCAGCUGUUUCCCCAGUUCUACUCUGCACAGAUCCACAGGUGGACCAGGAAUGGAUGGAGGAAUUAUAUUAGCCCCAGUGUGCAGUGCAGCACCCCUGCUCCUCAUCCAACAGAUCCUGAAGGGCCGUCCCCAAAUCUGUGGUUUUAUUGCUCUUCUGGAAUUGUACUCUGGACCUGAAGACUUCCAGGCAAAGCAUAGAGCUUUUCCAUGGGCUCCAGAGGGCUCCUCAGGGCUGAGCCAUUCCCAGUACCGCCCGUCCCUGACCUCAGACAAGGCUCCAAUUAGGACUUUCAGUUAUUUUUCUUUGAAACAAACACAGGGCAAUGGGGAAAAGCAUCCUUAUCAUCUGGUGAUAUUCACAUUUUUACUACAUUUUCUUUCAGUUCUGAUUUUUUUUUUUCCCAGAACCAGUUAAUCCAUUUCUUUUGGACUUGUACCUUCAAGGCAAGAGCUGCAGCACAACGUGCGGCCAAGCCAUUCCAGAAAAAUGCCUUCACUACAGAACAUGAACUUCCCAUUAUAGAGGCUGCAUAUGUGCUCUGAUUGAUCCCUAAACUGGCAUUUCAAUUUAUUUCCCACUGGAGGACUCAUUCAUUACAGAGAAAUAAGACUAUUAAAUGCAUGAUAAAGCACAUGCAUCAACAGACGAGAAUGGUGGUUACUUUACUGUACCUAUCUAAACAAUAGCUGAUAAAUAAAGCCAUUCAUGAUCACAUAGGACCUUUUAAAAUGAAUAAGGAAACAGUAAUAUGCUCAUUAUUAAAGCAGCUGAUUAAAAAAAAUAGCUUGCCAGCAUUAACACCACACACACUUUGCUGCUGCAUCCCUGGCUGUGGGACGGAGGCAGCUCGAAGGCACAGAUUGCGAGCAACCUGCCUGCAACCUGCCCAAGUCCCAGCAGCCUGCAGAUGUGUGCAGCUGUGCUGAUGUGGCAGCAGGCUCUUACCUCCAGCAGCAGGGAAAGAUGCCCAAAGGAGCCCAUGCAAGCUGCUUUUUUCAAGCUUCCAUCGUUUUUUCUUUAACUACUGCAUUGACCUUCUACCCAACAGCCUCUGGAGAGAAGCAGAAUAGUGGGGCAGGUGUAGAAUUCUUUAUACAUAUCAUAGAACCACAGAAUGGCUUAGGUUAGAAGGGACCUUAAAGAUCAUCGAGCUCCAACCCCAUGCAUAUGUACGUAUGCAUAUGGUUGGUUUCUUUUUUUUUUUUUUUUUGACCUGUCAAAAGGGGAAAGAUAGAGAUGGCAAAGAAAGACAAGACAUGGAGAAAGGAAAAUGAAGAGGAAAGGAGAAGUGGAUCUUUAUGAAAAUGAGGAGAUAGGUGUCCAUAAAGGCUCUGAAGCGGGACAUAAGAGCAGUGGCUUUGAAGUUUCUUUGCAAAUCAAACCAGGCUGGUCCUUUCUCUGCCCAUUUUUGAGGACACUGAACAGUCCCACCACUGGUACAACAACCCCAUAAAAAUCUACCAUCAGCUUUUUUUCUCUGUCCUUUUCCCCCACUUCAACCACAUCCUUAGACCUCCAAGAAGCCAAUGCCAGGCUAAGUAGUUGUGACAUAACUCAGCAGGUUUUCCUGAGCUCUAAUUGAAUUAUAAGCCAUCACUUUAUGGCCACAUGUAAAAAUCCCACAUGUUCCUUGCACAGCAUAGUCAGU
ensembl:lncRNA